AACGAACGCUGGCGGCAGGCUUAACACAUGCAAGUCGAGCGCCCCGCAAGGGGAGCGGCAGACGGGUGAGUAACGCGUGGGAAUCUACCCAUCUCUACGGAAUAACGCAUGGAAACGUGUGCUAAUACCGUAUACGUCCUUCGGGAGAAAGAUUUAUCGGAGAUGGAUGAGCCCGCGUUGGAUUAGCUAGUUGGUGGGGUAAAGGCCUACCAAGGCGACGAUCCAUAGCUGGUCUGAGAGGAUGAUCAGCCACACUGGGACUGAGACACGGCCCAGACUCCUACGGGAGGCAGCAGUUGGGAAUAUUGGACAAUGGGCGCAAGCCUGAUCCAGCCAUGCUGCGUGAGUGAUGAAGGCCCUAGGGUUGUAAAGCUCUUUCACCGGUGAAGAUAAUGACGGUAACCGGAGAAGAAGCCCCGGCUAACUUCGUGCCAGCCGCCGCGGUAAUAC
rnacentral:rRNA from 1 species